rnacentral:misc_RNA from 1 species
UCAGCGUGUGUCUCGCCAUCUCUCUCUCUCUGCCUGCUUGCAGCGGGAGGUGUGCGACUCCAGCAGCCACUGUCCACCGCUACCGAUGGACCGAAAACACACGAGACGCGCCGGCCUCCCCAGCCGGCCAGGCGCACCGCGUAGCGGCGAUGACGGUGCUCCUGUUGCGCCAGCCGUGGCGAUGCAGCGAGGCCGUGGAGGCUCUUCAUGGUCGUCUGAUGGGCCUUCUCCAGCUGUUCUGUCCUCUGCUGGGUCGUUGCGGUCGCGUGUGUGCCGCGAGGUCACCAGCUGGCGCCGUGGCACUGUCUCGAUCCACGAGGUGGACGCGUGGCUACGCUUCAAUCCGUACAUCCGCCGCGGCUUCCGACAUCGCUUCUUGCGCAAGCGCGAGGCCCUCGGCUCGAUCGUGCUUUACUUCCAUAACGAAACAUUCAACAUUGUGUCCCACCUGGCCAUGGCGGUGCUGAUGGCGCUGCUGCUGCUAUGGCCGCCGCGGGUGACGGCAAUGAGCAGCGGUGGUGGGGCGUCGGACAUCUACGACGGAGUAGGCGGGGGCUAUGGGCUGUACACCGCCGCGGCUUCUGCCGGCGGGCAGGGCGGCGGCGGCGGCGCAUAUUUCGGCGAACACGCAGCGGGUGCGCCGUUUCGUGGGCACCGCAGCGAAGCAGCCGAAGUGCCGUCGUGGCUACGUGGGUUGCACGGGCUCGCAGCUGCAUCCGGCGCAACUGCGGCGGGCACUGACAACGACGGCACGCAGGGGUGCGCGCCUUCCGGUGAUGAGACUGCCUUCCCACGGCAUGUGCUGAGCGACGCCGCUGCUGGUGCCGCAACAUCUUCGCCCUCAUUUCGCUUCUUUGCCUCUCUCUCGGGAGACUCGGCAGCGCCAUCGUCGCCGGCAUGGAUCGUGUCAGGCAUCGACAGCGCGCUGCCACCGCCGCCCAUGAGCGUCGCCGCCCGUCUCUCCCUCUCCCUCACACCACUGGUGCUCGGCUUCCUGCUGACGUUUGUGAUGUCGGUGCUGUAUCACGCCUUCAUGCCAUGCUGCCGCUCCCGCCGCGGCUAUCAGCAGCUCCUGCAGUGCGAUGUCAUGGGCGUCGUCUGCGCCAUCUCUGGCAGCGCCUACGCGUACUUUACAUGUGGGAUGCCGUGCGCCGGUGAAUACGUUCAGGCAUGGACGGCGGCACUCAUGGUGGCUGCGACGCUGCUGUGCAUCUACGUUGUUGUUUUGGUGCCGAUGUGGGGCGUGGUGGCAGAUGUGUGUGCGCUGGCGCUGCACCUGGUGCAGUGGGUUGCAGCUGCCGUCAUCGCUGCCGUGCUGGAGUUCUUGAUGGGCCGUCCACUCCCCUCUGCGCCGCCAUGCCCGCUACCGGUGCAGCGUGGCGGGCGUGACCGUGAUAGUCAAUCGCGCCCGUUGCCACCGCCAGAGCACCACUCGCGCCAGCACCUUCUACUAGCCUGGGUGCAGCAGCAUCGACAUCUAUACUCCGUUCAACUCGGUGACGCGCCGACGGCUGCCGCGCCAGCGGUGGCGGCAAACACCAGCAUCGAUCUGGUACCCCUCAGCGCACUCCAGCGCUCCACCGUCGUCGGCGCCUACUGCCUCCUGCAUCUUUAUGUGUACCUGGCGCUGGUCUAUCCCAAGAGUCGCGCAGCCAUGGGCGGGUUCACGCAAGCCACGCACUACCACAACGCCUCCUACGUGUGGCUAUGCCUCGGCGGCCUCAUCAACGCCGCUCGCUUUCCUGAGGUGGUCGUGUUUCACUGGACAAGACGAGCAGCGCGUCACACGCGGCGUGUGGCGGCGGCAGAGGCGGCCGCGCGGUGCGUCGAUGAGCUAAGAAGGGAUGCUGCUGUGGCAGAGAUGGAUGCACGAGGUGCACCGAUGGCUUCGUCGUCGUCGCGUGGCUCUGCGCGCCCGCUUCGUGCCUCUCCUGGCGGCGUCGCAACCGAGCCGGCAGCGCAGGCGACCUCUGUGUUAUCCACGUCUUCGCCGCCCGCCACCACGCCUACCUUGUGGGACCGGCUCUGCAUCCCGAAGCUGAUGGUCACCUACGUCGUCUCUGCCUCCACUCUCGACUAUAUCGGCAACAGUCACAACAUCUGGCACGUGUGCACCGCGCUGAGCGCCUUGUCAGCCAUCCUCGGCGUCUACUACGACUGCAUGGAGUACGACCUCGUCCAGUGCGGCUGAUGCGUGGCGUCGGCACUGUCUCGUUCUCUCGACCAGGGGAGAGACGGGGGCGGAGCCCCCCUCCCCCCUCCUCCUCUUGCCUCGGAGCGAGCUGAUGGCGGUCAUGGGGCCCGAGCCGUGCAUCGCUUUUCACGAGCCCCGAACUCGGAGCUCCAACACACCGAAGGCAACGUGUGGAAGCUCAUCGACGUCUCCUCGGCGGCGUACAGGAAGCUGGCGAGCGGGGGCUUUGCCGGCUCACGACGGCCGCACCGUCUUGGGAGCGGUGCGAACUGAGAUUGCUGCACUGCUCGCACGCGGGUCGCACCGCAGCCUCAGCCGUUGCCUUCCUGCUCCGACAAAAACGACCACCGCCUUACGGGGCUGCCCCUCACCCCCAAUGCGAUGUCUGCGUCAUGGCACAAGACGCUGCUAUGGCGCUCGCGUCCGCGAACCCCCCGGAGCAGGGCGGACAGCCAAAGGGACUGCCGUGCGCGGCACGCCGUGUGCGAAGGCCGCGGCGCGCUCGGGCCGCCUUGAGACGCGAGUCCGUGACGGCGAGCGUCAUCGCGGACUCAUGCUAAUGGACACAGUGCGCAGAGCGAAUGGUGCGCCCGCUUCCUCUCCAACGAGCCAGGCCGCUG